AUGGAGCCCCAACGGUCGUCUUGCUCCCGAGCGCCCGCCACCCCCAACGGGCCACUCCACGGCCGGCGCGCCGUCCUUUCCAGAUCCCAGCCACAGCACCACCCGUCGGGCGAUCGCUCCGAUCUCCGACGGCCAGAUAGUACCCGUGCUCCGCUCCCUUCGUACCGUGACGUCCUAGUCUCGGGGUCUUACGAAGAUGUGCCUCUGCCCGGUCGGUCCUGCCCCGCCUCGGCGGAUCUUGAACCUGAUAAUGCGGGUUGGAUCCAAGUGCGCAACCGCCGUCGUCAGCGCCACUUGGAGGAUUAUCCAGCCGUCGCGCGCCAGCAUGUGAGCUCCAAACCAAGGGUCCCGCGUUGGCUGGUGGGAAUAUGCUUUAGGUGUUUGGAUUCGGGUCACCAUAAAGUGGCCUGCACCGGAGAGAUUCGUUGCCAUCUCUGCUGGCUGCCGGGGCACAUCGCCAGAAGCUGCCACUCCCCCUACUCCAUCUCGACUCCGCCUGCUCCCCCCCAUUCUUGGGUUGCCGGUACUGCCGCCGGCCGCUCUUCACAGAUCCACUCCUUUCCUCGUCGGCCGCCUCCGCGUGACAUGGCGCACUACCCCCCUCUCGCCCAAUCCCGCUUCCCCAGCGAGCUCUACGCCCAUGGGGAUCCAGAUCUGAGGCCAGAGAGGGGUGGGGGCCUAAUCUCCCGCACCCCCGGGAUGGAGGCGCUGGAGGCUGAUUUCAGGAAUCGGGCCCUUCUGGCGUCGGUUCAAGGCAGGCGACCGGCGGUCUCGCCGGAGGCCCUAGUCCAGGCGCUGGACAGGUUCUGUGGGGUGGAGAGGAGGCAUGUCCGGGUCGAGGUGGCUCAUCCGGAUGACUUCUUCAUCUCUUCGCCUCCACGGAAGACUGCGACAGGGUGCUGUCCUACACCGGGAAGAUCAAAUGCGCCGGAGCCCCCAUUGCGUUUCGUCGCUGGCAUAGGAGCACGCAAGCGAGAGGAGGCAAGCUUGAUUUUUUCUGCAAGCUGGGGAUCGAAGGUAUGCCUGCUGAUGCCUGGGAGUGGGGUGCGGUGA
rnacentral:rRNA from 1 species